ACUAACUCUAGCCCUAACAAAUUUCAACAUAAUUAUAUUUACACACUUAAAUUAAACCAUUUAAUCUAACUAAAAGUAUUGGAGAAAGAAAUUAUCCUUAGGAGCUAUAGAAAAAGUACCGUAAGGGAAAGAUGAAAGAUUAAUUAAAAGUAAAAAUAAAGCAAAGAUAAGACCUUGUACCUUUUGCAUAAUGAAUUAACUAGAAAAACUCUAACUAAACGAAUUGAAGCUAGAAACCCCGAAACCAAACGAGCUACCUAAAAACAAUUUCAUGAAUCAACCCGUCUAUGUAGCAAAAUAGUGGGAAGAUUUUUAGGUAGAGGUGAAAAGCCUAACGAGCUUGGUGAUAGCUGGUUACCCAACAAAUGAAUUUUAGUUCAACUUUAAGCUUACUACAAGAAUAAAUAAUCUAAACGUAAACUUAAAUUAUAGCCAAAAGAGGGACAGCUCUUUAGGAACGGAAAAAACCUUUAAUAGUGAAUAAACACCCACAAAUCUUAACCAUUGUAGGCCUAAAAGCAGCCACCAAUAAAGAAAGCGUUCAAGCUCAACAUUAAAAACAAUAAAUUCAAUCAUUAAAAAUAAAUUCCUAUUCUUCAAAUUGGGUUAAUCUAUUAAUUUAUAGAUGAGAUACUGUUAAUAUGAGUAACAAGAAUUAAUUCUCCAAGCAUAAGUGUAUAACAACUCGGAUAACCAUUGUUAAUUAAAGAACUAUAGAUAAUAAAUUCUUAAUUAAACUAUCUAACUCAUACUCGUUAAUCCAACACAGGAAUGCUUUAAGGAAAGAUUAAAAAGAAUAAAAGGAACUCGGCAAACACAAACCCCGCCUGUUUACCAAAAACAUCACCUCUAGCAUAAUAAGUAUUAGAGGCAUUGCCUGCCCAGUGACUAAAGUUAAACGGCCGCGGUAUCCUGACCGUGCAAAGGUAGCAUAAUCACUUGUUCCUUAAUUAGGGACUAGUAUGAAUGGCUAGACGAGGGUUUAACUGUCUCUUAUUCUCAAUCAGUGAAAUUGACCUUUCAGUGAAGAGGCUGAAAUAACAAAAUAAGACGAGAAGACCCUAUGGAGCUUCAAUUAAUUAGCUUAAUUAUAAACACUAAUAACCUAAUGGUACAAAAUAAAAAAAAACUAUAAGCUAAAAAUUUCGGUUGGGGUGACCUCGGAGAACAAAAAAUCCUCCGAAUGAUUAUAACCUAGACAAACAAGUCAAAGUAGCCCUAUAAUCUUAUUGACCCAAAACUUUUUUGAUCAACGGACCAAGUUACCCUAGGGAUAACAGCGCAAUCCUAUUUAAGAGUCCAUAUCGACAAUUAGGGUUUACGACCUCGAUGUUGGAUCAGGACAUCCCAAUGGUGCAGAAGCUAUUAAUGGUUCGUUUGUUCAACGAUUAAAGUCCUACGUGAUCUGAGUUCAGACCGGAGUAAUCCAGGUCGGUUUCUAUCUAUUUACAAUUUCUCCCAGUACGAAAGGACAAGAGAAAUAGAGCCACCUUUGCAAAAGUGCUCUUAGACUAAUUUAUGAAUAUAUCUUAAUUUAAUAGACAUGUAAAACACCAUAGACCUAGACAAGGUA
rnacentral:rRNA from 1 species